rnacentral:lncRNA from 1 species
CGCGCGCGAAGGCGGGGUCUCCCGGCAGCCCCGCCCCCGGCGCUGGGCGAGUGCGUCUGCGUGUGCGGCGCGCGCGGCCGGUGUUUCGGGCCUGCGGGGCGGGUGUGCGUGCCGAGGCCGCGGGGGCUUCCCGGCGUGUGGGUGCGUCUGGCUUUGGCCCCCACCUACGGAGGAAAGUUCCCCUCCCUGGCCCCGAAUUCCGGGGAGCUCCCAGUCCUUGAGCCGUUCCAGCACCGGAUCUCUUCAGAUGUCUUGGAAUCUAGGUUUGUGGGCACAUUCUCAGUGCUCAGGAGAUGCCGCCCCGGUGCCCAACCUCCUCACUCGUCCGCAGCGGCUCCCACCGGCUCCCACCUUCGCCCGGACCCGGGCCCCACACGGCCCGUCCGCACUCCCAGUAGCAGGGACACCACGUCAGAUCCGGGGUCUGCAGGCGGUGGAUUCACUCUUGGGCUUGGGCUUGGGUCGACGCAUUCACGCUCUGAGUCUUCCACCCUGUUAACCCCUAAGCAGCCGUCGGCAACAGGGCUUCUCUGGCGGUUCAGGAACUCCGACGGCACCUGGCAAAGGAUCCCCAGCUGCAGCCUGGGUGUGUGGCUGGCUUCGAGCACUCCCCCGUUCCAGUUUCUUCAUGAAGGAAAAGUCCUCCUCUGCUCCCGUGGUGUAAAAGAGGGACGUUCCGGGCCCAGCUGCAUUUUCCAUAAGACAAAGCCUUUGUGGGGUCAGGGUGCAUUCCUGUUGGAGACAAUUGUGAAUGGAUUCCCUACGUUUCUGCAGUCCCACGAGGGAGGCACCCCUGCCCUUCGUCCCAAACCAGCCCUUCAAGUUGUUUACGAGGAACGUGUGCAUUCUGGUCCUUCCUGCAUAGACAGCCCUCCCCGCAUGGUAGCGGGGCAUCCAGCCCAGGAGGACACAUCUCAUCAGUUCACCUCAGGACUUAAAACAAAUCUUACCAUUAUGAAGAGGGUUUUGGUUCGGCUGUUAUUUCUGUUAUCUGGAACAUGCCCACAGGCUUUCAUCAUGCUACUGUUUACAACCUCAUUACUGAUGUUCCUCAACCACCCAUGGUACCCAUUCUGCUGAAGACAAAGAUUUCUGGGUUUCUGGGUAGGUGAAAGCUACAUUUAUUGCACCAAAGGAAAGAAAAUUCCAUUUGCAUAGGCAUCCCAUUUGCAUAGUGCACACAUCCUCUCAUAAUUCACAAAAAGCUACCAUUUCUCUUAGAUUAUGAAAAACACCCAAAGUAUGUAUUUGCACAAUUAUUUGAUUUGGGGCCAUGCCUUGUGUACUAAAGGUGAUUGAUCAAUUUUAUAUCUCCUUCUGAGUUUUGUUUAUAAUUCUUUGUCACUGAAUCGUGCUAUGUUCCUGUUACAUGCCAUUUCAG